rnacentral:SRP_RNA from 1 species
GCCGGGUGUGGUAGCUCACGCCUGUAAUCCCAGCACUUUGGGAGGCUGAGGUGGGUGGAUCACCUGAGGUCAGGAGUUCGAGACCAGCCUGACCAACAUGGAGAAACCCCAUUUCUA